AGAAGCUCAGCUCUUCUUCCUGCCCUGGGCAGUCCCAGAGAGCAUUUAACUCCAUAGGAUCAUGGUGGUGGUUGUCUUCACGCCUGGAUGUGUUCCCUGCACCAUGCCUGCCCUGCAAGCUGGAAUGGCUGCAGCCUUCAGUUGGAUGGCCCGGAGGUGCUGCUUCCAGGCCAAGCUCUUCCUUCUUGCUCUUGAAGGCCACCAAGUGCCCCAGUCUACAGUAUCUCAGGUACCACCACUCUCUAGGAG
rnacentral:lncRNA from 1 species